ACCUCCCGUCACACUAUAGGAGUUGGCCAUGUUUGGUCAUUACCCUUAACCAUGAGGAGGGGGUGCCUAAGGCUAAGAUUGCUAUUGGAGUGAAGUCGUAACAAGGUAGUCGUACUAGAAGGUGCGGCCG
rnacentral:ncRNA from 1 species